rnacentral:tRNA from 1 species
GCAUUGGUGGUUCAGUGGCAGAAUUCUUACCUCACAUGUGGGAGACCUAGCUUCAAUUCCUAGCCAAUGCA